rnacentral:tRNA from 1 species
GAUGCAAUUGGGGUGAAACAGGCAUGAAACCUGAUUCUUAAUCAGCAGGUUCAGGGUUCGAUUCCUUGGUGCGUCA